AAUGAACGUUGGCGGCGUGGAUUAGGCAUGCAAGUCGAGCGUACCCAGCAAUGGGGAAGCGGCAAACGGGGUAGUAAGGCGUCGGUACGUGCCCUCGGGACGAGGAUAGCCACGGGAAACUGUGGGUAAUACUCGAUGAUCUCGUGAGAGCAAAGGUGUGAUUCCGCCAGGGGAGCGGCCGACGUGGUAUUAGGUAGUUGGUGGGGUAAUGGCCCACCAAGCCUGGGAUGCCUAGGGGGUGUGAGAGCAUGGCCCCCACCAUUGGGACUGAGAUACUGCCCAGACACCUACGGGUGGCUGCAGUCGAGAAUCUUCGGCAAUGGGCGCAAGCCUGACCGAGCGACGCCGCGUGCGGGAUGAAGGCCUUCGGGUUGUAACCGCUGUCAGAGGGGAUGAAAUCACAGUGGGUUCUCCCAUUGUGUUGACAGAGCCUCAGAGGAAGCGCGGGCUAAGUUCGUG
rnacentral:rRNA from 1 species